GCCUAUCUAGCUUAGUUGGUAGAGAACAAGGCUAUUAACCUUUGUGGUUGUGGGUUCGAGCCCCACAGUCGACG
rnacentral:tRNA from 1 species